rnacentral:tRNA from 1 species
GCCGUUGUAGCUCAGUUGGUAGAGCAACGCAUUCGUAAUGCGUGGGUCGGAAGUUCAAGUCUUCUCAACGGCACCA